AGCGAACGCUGGCGGCAGGCCUAACACAUGCAAGUCGAGCGCCCCGCAAGGGGAGCGGCAGACGGGAGAGUAACACGUGGGAACGUACCCUUCAGUUCGGAACAACCAAGGGAAACUUUGGCUAAUACCGAAUACGUCCGUAAGGAGAAAGAUUUAUCGCUGAAGGAUCGGCCCGCGUCUGAUUAGCUAGUUGGUGGGGUAAUGGCCCACCAAGGCGACGAUCAGUAGCUGGUCUGAGAGGAUGAUCAGCCUCACUGGGACUGAGACACGGCCCAGACUACUACGGAAGGCAGCAGUGGGGAAUAUUGGACAAUGGGCGCAAGCCUGAUCCAGCCAUGCCGCGUGGAUGAUGAAGGCCCUAGGGUUGUAAAGUCCUUUCGGCGGGGAAAAUAAUGACGGUACCCGCAGAAGAAGCCCCGGCUAACUUCGUGCCAGCAGCCGCCGCGGUAA
rnacentral:rRNA from 1 species